GGAGAGGUAUCGAAGUGGUCAUAACGGGGCUGACUCGAAAUCAGUUUGCGGGUUAAACCGCACAAGGGUUCGAAUCCCUUCCUCUCCG
rnacentral:tRNA from 1 species